rnacentral:tRNA from 1 species
GCCCUUGUAGCUCAGAGGAUAGAGCAGCGGUCUUCUAAACCGUGGGUCGGGGGUUCGAUUCCCUCCAGGGGCG